rnacentral:rRNA from 1 species
GGAUUUCUCCAGACAGUUGUGGUUUCGUCAGGUUCAGAGCGUCAGUGUCCUGACAGGCUGCCGGCGGCACGGCCCAGCUGUCCGCUUCCCCGUCGUCCUGGCUCACCCGUCAGGUUCCCCCGCUUUCCAGUCCCGCGUCUCCGCCGCAGAUGGUGCUCCAGCGCCUCCGCGCCAUGCCCACGUCCGGCAGGCUUAAGAUCCUGGUGGCGCCGCCGUCGUCGACAUGCCGUUCUGCGGUGCGACGAACGUCGCCGCCUCCGUCGCUAGUGCCUCGCCCGCACCAAGAUCCCAUCGCCGGCUGAGACGAGACGACUCUAUGCCUCUAUGCACGCUGCAUUGACUGAGCCAGCGGCACAGCAACUUGCCCGAAGAACGGCGGCUCCAAAGUCUGCACGCGCUGCCUUGACCACCAGACCAGCGGCAGGGCAACUUGCCUGCAGAAUGUCAAUGGUACGGGCGUACGGUAUACUGGGCAUGGUAUGAACAAAUCAACGCCUCAUCAUGCGGUCCAUCCAUUCAAAUAUGACGGGUAAAUCAAGCUUACACAAAUUGUCUACAUGAAAAUAGCGCAAAGGUUGACUUGCGGCCAUGUUGAUUGGCACCCAGUCUCGGGACUGAGAUAUCAACAUGUGCCAAGAGCUCAAGAUACCUCCAAACCUCUGAAUCCAUUGCAUCUAUCCGGCUAGUGGCAGAGUAGAUAGAGGCAUAGAGUGUUUGACUGGACUACACCAUCCAUUCCACCCACAUGGUAUGAACGCAUGCCUUCCACUUGAUGAUGAACACAAAGUAUGAACUCGUAGGUGAAGGUCAAGGCAGCUGGGUGCGCGCGCGCACCUCCGUGAGACAUGGAAGUCCUCUCUGGAACACAUAUAAGCAUACGAAUCCCGGGGCCAGGAGGCAUUCCUCAUCAUUUACCAACGUGACCUCUGUCUAGCUAGCUGGAGAGGAUGGCGCUUGUUCCCCGGUCGUCCCUGCGCUCCCUGGUGCUGCUCGUGUCCCACGGGAAGCCACGGCUGAGCUCUUUCUUCUCCUCCGCCGCCGCCACACCGGCCGCCCCAGGAGCUGAUAAUCUUCCGGCUGCUCCGGCCGUCCACCCCCCAGCUCCGACAGGCCGUUCAUGCCCCAAGCUCCCUGUGGAGGAAGAGUUUGCUCUUCACCCAAUUCCUGGGGGUCCACGUCCACAUCCACGACCACGUCCGCGCCCAUGUGGAGCCGCUAAAGAUGCAAGUGUAACCGACAAUGCUUUGCUGAACGCCCCUGAAGAUCCUUGUACAUACCCGGAUCCUGAUCGUGGUUCUGAUGGCAUCUUUGAAGAUCCCCGACACCCAGUUCCUGAUCCAUCAGGUAGGGGGCGUAGCGCCGUAACCGAUGAGCCUGCUCAGUGCACCCAGGAGCACCCUAAGUACCCAGUAACCGAUAGUUCAACUGACAAGGGCCCUGCUGUGGAACAUCCUGCAUACACAACUCCUGGUUAUGGUUCAUGUAGCACACCUGAGCCUAUGCCUGAUAAGCCUCCCUGCGGCACCUCCGAGGAUGUGAAACAACGAGAUGUUGAUCCACCGCCUCCCGCGCGUGAAGGUGUUGGACACCGAGUUGUCGAUCCACCACGCGGGGGCAGGGGGCGUCGCGCUGUGCCCGACGAGCCAGAGCAGUGCGCCCAGGAGCAUCCCAAGUACCCAGUUCCUGACAGUUCAAGUGACAAGGUCUUCUCCUCCUGCUCCUCCGCCGUUCCGCCGCUGGCUCCAGGAAGUUGCACCCCGGCUGCCCCCGACGUUCAGCCUCCAGUCACCCCAGCUCCGCCAAAUCGUUCAGGCCACAAGCUCCCUGAUCACGAAGAGUCUGUUUUCAACCCACUUCCUGAUCCACCAUCAGGUCACAGGCUUAGCCCUGUAAUCGAAGAGCCUGCCCGGUGCACCCUGGACAACCCCAAAUACCCAACUCCUGAUCAUGCUUCAUGUAGCCCAUCUGAAGGUGUAUCUGCGGACUUGUUGGAAGAUCCUCUGCAUCGGGUGCCUGAUCCACCACGUAGGCCCUAAUGAAUCGACGCAGUGCAGCCAGGAGCAUGAGCAUCCUCAGCACCCAGCUCUGGGCAGUUCCAAGUGACGACAUCUUUCAGACACCUUCUGACAGGAUCACGAACCGGGGUUAUAAAGCUACGUCCUGCAAGCGCUGGGUCACUGAGAAGAUAGCGAGCACCUAAUUAAGCUGAUACGAACUAGGAGAAAAAAUUGGCAGCUUUCCCUGGCUUCUGCCCGUGCUGGUCUGUAUACUGUAGACUCGUAAUUUUGUUGCGAUGAAUCCUUGUGUUGUGAGCAGAGAAAAAUCUCGGUGGUUACUGGCUAGUUACUGCUGCGAUCUUGUUGUAAUCCCAAUACAUGCUUUCAAGGAAAAAGAGUUAUGGUUGAGCCCCGGCUGCACUGCCUAUCAGCACAUACAAAUACACAUUCAUCUAAAAAAUGCAUUGCAUUUCAUACACACUCACAUUCACUUUAAUUGUCCAUGGUCAACACAUACAACGAAGUACUUGAAUCUCGGGCUGUGGGCGGCGGCGGCAAGGCGGCUCGGCCCUCUGGAGUGGCGAUUUCCAUUUGCCGCGCCGGCAUCAUAG